rnacentral:lncRNA from 1 species
CUUCCCAAGGUGAAAUCCUAACUUUGCCACUUACUAGCCAUGUGAACUUGGGCAAGUGACCUAAUCCUCUGCAUUUCAUCUCUAAAUUGGGGAGAAUAGAAGCAUCUACUUCAUGUAGUAGCCAGGAUUAGAAGAGAUGGGGCCACUUGAGGGAAAAGACCUACCCAAGGGCACAUAAUCUGUACAUGAGAGAGAGCCAGAUGUAACAGACUGAGUACUGGACUUGGGGUUAAACAGACUGUGAAUCUUUCCACCCCAUUGGCAAGAAUAACUGGGCCCUGGAUAGAAUGUGAUGAAUGUAUAUUCUUAAUGAGAAGUGGAAAUAAUUUGUGGUUGAGAGCUGUGCCUCAGAUCAGAGUGACAGGAUACAUGGCUAGGCUAUAUUUUCCAGCAGAUUAAGAGCUGCGGCCCAAGACUCUGAAAUAUGAAGAAAAAAGGAGAAGAUGACAGCAUAUCUUUUUAAAGAAAUAUUUUCCAGCCAAAUGGUGUAGCAGAGGACUUCCAGGAAUUUGUUCUUGUUCUGUAUCAAAGGUGAAGAGUUCGUAGCCUUCAAGGAAACAAGAAACCAUGGGAUGGAGUGAAGGAAGGUGGCCUGGAACCAGCUGCUGAGCCUCUCUGAGCCCCAGUUUCCUCGUCUCUAAAAUGGGGCUGAUCUCCUCUCCCUCAGACUGUUGUUGCAGGAAUUAAAACAGGUGUUGAGUGGGAAAGCAUCAGUCCCAUAGCAAAUGGCCCCUGAGUAGUAGGAUCUGAGUUCUGGUUCUGGUCCUGCUGGGGUAUGGCUGGUUGAGAGGUCAAAGAGGUGGAGCCCUGGUGAAGUCUCCUGGAUGCUUACCUAAAGAGGUCAACACAAGAGCAAGAUCUGGUCUAGAGACAAAGAUCUGAGAGUCCUCAGAGGAGGCUGGAACCUGAAUCCCUGGAAGGUGUGAAAUCCUCCAAGGAGAGUGUGUUGGUGACACCAGAAAGGAGAAGCAGUGUCUGGAUCCUGAGAAAUGCCAGCAGUUCAGGGGAGGGCUGUAGAGAUUAAACCGUAAGGAAUAAUUCAUUCAC